AGAUGUGAGGGCGAUCUGGCUGCAACAUCUGUCACCCCAUUGACUGCCAGGGUUGAUUCAGCUGAUCUGGUUGGCUAGGCGGGUGUCCCCUUCCUCCCUCACUACUCCAUGUGCGUCCCUCCCGAAGCUGCAAGCUCAGUAGAAGACGACAACCAUCCCCAAUAGAGGAGGACUGGUCCUUAGUCAAGGGUAUAUGACUAGCUGCACUCCCCUGCUACAACCUCCAGACAAGCUCUCAAGAAGCCAGGACUAUAACCAUAAAGUGAUUCUGACCUUCUGAUUUAUCUGGGAAUGAUUCCAGUCUCCUCACAGAUUUGUGGCUGUGACAGCUGAUCUAC
ensembl:misc_RNA 7SK 7SK RNA